CGUCCCUUCCUUAUACUGAGAGAAAAAUGGCUUCAAGCAAGCUUUUUGUAGUUUUGCAAGUCCUUUUGAUCUCUAUCAUUCUCCUGGCUUUUCAGGUGGCUGCUAGAGAACUGAUCGAGGCUUUUAGCGCUCUAAAUCCUCAUCGUAAGAUGGUGGUGGACGAUCCUUGGGGCCACAACCCUCGACAUGAAUGAUUUUGCAAGUCUCACAAACUAAAAGCUUAAUUUGGGCCAAAGAGGUUGGCAUGGUGGACAAGAUUUCCUGAUGUUUGCGUUCGAAUCUCUCUACUGCAAACUACUACUCUUCUGUACUGUUUUCUCUUUUACUGUAGUAAAAAAAGUAAAAAAAUGAAAAUAAGUCGUUUGUAAAUCUGUUGGGAAGCACUGCUUAGUCCAAUCGCAUCGCUGUCGUUUGAGUGCUCUCUA